GACGAACGCUGGCGGCGUGCUUAACACAUGCAAGUCGAGCGGUAAGGCCCUUUCGGGGGUACACGAGCGGCGAACGGGUGAGUAACACGUGGGUGACCUGCCCUCAGCUCUGGGAUAAGCCUGGGAAACCGGGUCUAAUACUGGAUAUGACUCCAUGACGCAUGUUGUGGGGUGAAAGCCUUGUGCGGCUGAGGAUGGGGCCCGCGGCCUAUCAGCUUGUUGGUGGGGUGAGGCCUACCAAGGCGACGACGGGUAGCCGGCCUGAGAGGGCGACCGGCCACACUGGGACUGAGACACGGCCCAGACUCUACGGGAGGCAGCAGUGGGGAAUCUUGCGCAA
rnacentral:rRNA from 1 species